GUGCUCUCGCAGCGGCCAGAAGUGUGACCAGCACCCUUCUGCAGAAGAAGAGGUCCCUGAUCAUCUCUCAUGAGGAGAUGCGUCCCCCUGCCUCACUGUGGUGGCCUCAGGGAUGAGGGAUCAAGACCUCCCCCAGCAUGAUGAAUAAACCUGGACUCUCAGCAACGCAGGUGAAAAGGAUCCUCACACACCAUGGCAACCAGGUAACUCUGUACACAAACCAAGGUAAGAAAAGUCGUGGGGGUGACAAAGUAUUUCCUUGGUGGUUGGGACAACUUGGAGCUUGAAUGUGUGUGAAUGAGAUGUACAAUUAAGCACAAAGCAAGCGUGGAGUCUGGAUCUGCAGUUCUGUGGUCACCUCAUAUGGCUUAUGGCAGAUUCCUGUUGUGGGGCUUAUACCGACACACCGAUGCUAAGAGGGACUUAAAUUCCCGUGAGGGAAGCAGCCAGAGAAGGACAAAGCAAAA
rnacentral:lncRNA from 1 species